GAAGUAAUAGUUUUCAACUAUCAAUGGGCUAUUCUGUGGCUCUAUGAGGCCGUCAUCAGACCCAUGAUAUGUCAUGGGUCGGUGGUGUGGUGGCCGAGACUAGACAUAGAGAGAGCGCGGAAAGAGCUAGGGGAAAUUCAAAGGCUAGUGUGCAUUUGCAUAACUGGAGCUAUGAAGACCACAGCUACCGCGGCCAUGGAGACACUGCUGAAUGUACCACCGCUCGACCUGAUAAUUCAGGCUAGAGCCUUCGCCACGGCGGAUCGGUUGGUGCAAAAUGGCUUGUGGACUUCUAACUUCCGGGCAGGGCAUGGGAAAAUAUGUGGCGUGGUAGAAAGCCCAGUUUUCGGCAUGCCCAGAGACCGGAUGACACCGGUGAUUGACUUCACGAAGCGAUUCGACGCUACCUUCUUAGGCAGAGCAGACUGGCUUAACGGCUGGCCUACUGGCCUAUCAAGGGGAAGUAAAGUCAGAUUCACUGACGGUUCGAAAACUCCAAAUGGAACAGGAGCUGGAGUGUAUGCCCCCGAAACGGGGCUAGGCAAUUCCUUCCACCUGGGAGAGAUCGCCAGCGUACCUCAGGCGGAGCUUUAUG